GAUUUAGCAGAAAUCAAAGAGUGU
rnacentral:siRNA from 1 species